rnacentral:tRNA from 1 species
GGGGUUGUGGCUCAACGGUAGAGCACUUGCCUAGUAAGUGUGAGUCACUGGGUUCAAUCCUCAGCAUCACAU